rnacentral:rRNA from 1 species
GAUGAACGCUAGCGGCAGGCUUAACACAUGCAAGUCGAGGGGUAUAGGAAGCUUGCUUCCUAGAGACCGGCGCACGGGUGCGUAACGCGUAUGCAAUCUACCUUUUGCAGAGGGAUAGCCCAGAGAAAUUUGGAUUAAUACCUCAUAGUAUGUGAGAAUGGCAUCAUUUUCACAUUAAAGUCACAACGGCAAAAGAUGAGCAUGCGUCCCAUUAGCUUGUUGGUAAGGUAACGGCUUACCAAGGCGACGAUGGGUAGGGGUCCUGAGAGGGAGAUCCCCCACACUGGUACUGAGACACGGACCAGACUCCUACGGGAGGCAGCAGUGAGGAAUAUUGGACAAUGGGCGCAAGCCUGAUCCAGCCAUGCCGCGUGCAGGAUGACGGUCCUAUGGAUUGUAAACUGCUUUUUGUAUAGGAAGAACACUCCCUCGUGAGGGUAGCUUGACGGUACUGUAAGAAUAAGGAUCGGCUAAC